GGCUCAGGACGAACGCUGGCGGCGUGCCUAAUACAUGCAAGUCGAACGAACUCUGGUAUUGAUUGGUGCUUGCAUCAUGAUUUACAUUUGAGUGAGUGGCGAACUGGUGAGUAACACGUGGGAAACCUGCCCAGAAGCGGGGGAUAACACCUGGAAACAGAUGCUAAUACCGCAUAACAACUUGGACCGCAUGGUCCAAGUUUGAAAGAUGGCUUCGGCUAUCACUUUUGGAUGGUCCCGCGGCGUAUUAGCUAGAUGGUGGGGUAACGGCUCACCAUGGCAAUGAUACGUAGCCGACCUGAGAGGGUAAUCGGCCACAUUGGGACUGAGACACGGCCCAAACUCCUACGGGAGGCAGCAGUAGGGAAUCUUCCACAAUGGACGAAAGUCUGAUGGAGCAACGCCGCGUGAGUGAAGAAGGGUUUCGGCUCGUAAAACUCUGUUGUUAAAGAAGAACAUAUCUGAGAGUAACUGUUCAGGUAUUGACGGUAUUUAACCAGAAAGCCACGGCUAACUACGUGCCAGCAGCCGCGGUAAUACGUAGGUGGCAAGCGUUGUCCGGAUUUAUUGGGCGUAAAGCGAGCGCAGGCGGUUUUUUAAGUCUGAUGUGAAAGCCUUCGGCUCAACCGAAGAAGUGCAUCGGAAACUGGGAAACUUGAGUGCAGAAGAGGACAGUGGAACUCCCCUGUGUAGCGGUGAAAUGCGUAGAUAUUAUGGAAGAACACCAGUGGCGAAAGCGGCUGUCUGGUCUGUAACUGACGCUGAGGCUCGAAAGUAUGGGUAGCAAACAGGAUUAGAUACCCUGGUAGUCCAUACCGUAAACGAUGAAUGCUAAGUGUUGGAGGGUUUCCGCCCUUCAGUGCUGCAGCUAACGCAUUAAGCAUUCCGCCUGGGGAGUACGGCCGCAAGGCUGAAACUCAAAGGAAUUGACGGGGGCCCGCACAAGCGGUGGAGCAUGUGGUUUAAUUCGAAGCUACGCGAAGAACCUUACCAGGUCUUGACAUACUAUGCAAAUCUAAGAGAUUAGACGUUCCCUUCGGGGACAUGGAUACAGGUGGUGCAUGGUUGUCGUCAGCUCGUGUCGUGAGAUGUUGGGU
rnacentral:rRNA from 2 species